rnacentral:rRNA from 1 species
UACGUAGGGCGCAAGCGUUGUCCGGAAUUAUUGGGCGUAAAGAGCUCGUAGGCGGUUUGUCGCGUCUGCUGUGAAAAUCCAGGGCUUAACCCUGGACCUGCAGUGGGUACGGGCAGACUGGAGUGCGGUAGGGGAGAUCGGAAUUCCUGGUGUAGCGGUGAAAUGCGCAGAUAUCAGGAGGAACACCGGUGGCGAAGGCGGAUCUCUGGGCCGUAACUGACGCUGAGGAGCGAAAGCAUGGGGAGCGAACAGG